UACGAACCUCGUUAGGUGAGGCUCCUGUAUGGAGAAAUGCUGCUGCCCAGAAAUGUCCAAAGACGCCAAUGGGUCAACAGAAGCCAUCGACAUAAGGUGGUUUUUAAUGUAGCUGGAUUCCGCUCCUAUGCCAUACAGUGCUAAAACUCAACGAAUGGAGGUGUCGA
rnacentral:sRNA from 1 species